rnacentral:lncRNA from 1 species
UCCAAACACGAAAUAGAAAUAAUGUUUUUAGUAAUGACGGGAACAAAAUAACAAUUUUUUAAUUCUAAUACUAAGCCCGAAGGCAAUGGUAAGAAGUAUGUCCCUACAGCUAAUACAACAACUGUUGCUUCAUUCCCCACAUCCAGGUCAACUUCUCUUUUCUACAGUGGUCUACUUCUCUUUAGUCCCUGCAUCUUUAUACAAAUAUGAGAUCCACAUCCGGUAUCUAUUACCCAAGAAGCUAAUGAAGUAGACAUAUUAACCUCGAUAACAAAAAUACCUGAAGUAGAUGUUGAAAAAUUACUCACCACCGGGGUUGGAGAAGAAACAAUGCAGAAAAUUAAUCAAGAGGAUUAAAAAACGAAUCAAGAUCAUGACGAAAAUGGAAGGCUCAAACACGACGUUACAUCGUUGUUCUCAAACGAUAUUUGCCCCCUCUUGGUAUUAAUGUUGGUGCUUAAAGGAUCUUGCGGCAAACAGUUUGAAGGAUUGAUCAAACCUUGAUGUAGAGAAACACAAAGCACAAGCAUUUCUUCACCCGAACUUGAAGAACAUAUAGGGAAUAUAUGAAUGUGGAGGAAGAAAGGAUUUUUCUUUUUUGUGGAAUGAGGACAAAUUACCAUAUGUUUUGUAAUCUGAUUUUCAUGUGUUUUUUUAUGUCCAACAAAUACAUAUUUAUAGCCAUGAAUCAAAGCUUCACGAAAUGGUGCCAAAAUAAGAUGAAUCAAUUCUGAUUUUGCUAAAGCACAUCUUGCAUAAGCCUGUGCGUACACAUGGGUAAAAAUCAAAGUUUUUAUUUUUCAAUUUCUUUUGAUUCUACCAAUUUCACAAUUGAGUCCAACAAUUAGUCCAUUAUCAUUCCAUUGAUUUUGAACAAAUAUUCAACAAUCCUCCACUUGUUCAAAAUCAAUAAGAUCACAUAUUUAAAAAGACGAUACUUAUGCAUAAGGAUUAGAUAUCUUUCGAUCUGAAUCUAACCAUAGUGUAAUUCAAACAAAGUAAAGUCGGAAUUAGAGGUAGCAUGGAAGUUUUGAACUAAUUAUUCAUUGUGACAAUAUCGGUAAGAACACACACAUAAGUAUCAUAUGUUCUCAAGUUCCUCAACUCGCUUAGCGCUUUUAUGGCCUUGCGCUCAUCCUAUUCGACAAACUUUUAAGAGAUAAACUCCAACUCUCAAUUGAGGCAGCACCACCUCGAAGUUUGUUUAGAUGAAGUUCUUCCAAUAUCUUUAUUACUUUUAGAGGUACUUGUGUUUUAACACUGAACUUCAUUAAGAGUUUUAAUACUCAACCUUCACUUCAGUAACAACCAGCAUUAUUUAAUUAGGAUAACGUUAUCGCGGAUUUAUAUAAUGCUGCAUCUAUCCACAUAUCGAAUGACUUGUUGUUACCCUUUGAACCUAUGGAUUACCUUUUGAGUAAUGACGGGUAGGGUUGCUAUCAUUGGUGGACCUUUGUAGUUUAGGAGUUUCAACCCCAUCCUACUCGAAGUAGAUGCCACUAAAAUUUUAUUUAGUGGUCUAAUUAAAGGAUCCGCUACGUCUUUACAGAAAUUAUUCCAUCUUUGCUAAUUUCCUUUUAAGUCAUGUCUAAGACUUAUAUGUCUUGACUUUUCAUUUCAUGUGACUUAGUAUCUUAUCAAAGUAUAGCUAGCCAACGAUCGAUUCAUUUGAUAGAUACAAUUUGUCACCACCAAGAAGCCACAUGCUUCUCACUCGCUUUAUUUAAAGCCUUAUUGAUUUUUAAAACACUUGUUGGAUGAUUUCCAUUAAUUCAUUACACUAGUCCAUCACGUCUAUUUGAAAAUUUUCAUACUCGGGUAUUCACUUAUCAUCAUUGAAUCAUUACAAUGAUCUUCAAUGAAUAUUCUUUAAAUAUUUCAUUGUUUUUCCAAGCGCCACAAUUGGCUUUUACUCAUUUAGUCCACUUUUGACUUAGAGCGUUUCAUUCUUAUAAGGCCUUCUCUAUCUUUCUCCAUCAUAGAUGUAUUUCUAUGAUUAAAAGGUAAAGGAUACGGUAACUUUUUAAAUUAAGUUACCCCCACAAUUCCUUAAUUAAGAAUUCUUAUGCAAUCUUGUAAUAUUGCAUCCAUAUAACUUUGAACUUCUUAUAUAAGUUCAUAAGAUUAAUAUUAACCCCCACAUUUCGGGUUAUACUCGAACUUAGAGUUCCUUAAUAUGUCAACCCCCACAUUAGGGAUUGUAAUUGAACUUAGAGUUCAUCAACAUAUUUUGUAGUUCAAUUUGCUUAUCACUUCAAUAAUGACCGUGAAAGUCUACAUACUUUCAAAUAGUCAUUAUUAAUUCACAAUGUACUUCAAUCCACUAUUUAAUUUUGAUCACACAAUUUGAUCAAGGUCAUCUCAUAGACCUACCAUGUUUUUCAAGCAUAAACCAACUCAAUUUGGUUCCAUGAUUGAAGUCCAAUUCAACAAUGAAUGAGACUAAUCUCCAAUUGUUGGCAAUUUAUCACUUUCGUGACUUUCACAAGAUAGCAUCAUAUCACCUCAAUGACAUGGUACAUAUUUGCCUUAUUCACUUUUGGGCAAAAUCACACUUUGUCCCUUUUAUAUGCAAACCCAAUUUUGCAUAAGAUUAUCCCACUUAAUUUGUGGCUAUCAACAUUUCAAUAAAACAUGAAAUCAACCAUCAAAUUUAUCAAGUAAUUCUCAUAUUCCAAUAGAAGUAGUCAUGAAGUUAUCAUGUACUUUCAACAAAUAGUAGGCAUCCUUCCACAUUUAUGCACAUCCUUUAGACCCAUUAAAUAUUAAUAUGCUGGUCUCAAAACACAAAUAUGGAUGUGCUUUACUUGCACCUCGAAGUCCAUAAGCCAACAUAAUGGCAAAUGCACUGUGCAGUAAAUGGUGUCCUACAGAAACAUGUGGGCUACCCAAGUGGGUUCGUGUAUUAUCCAAGCAAAUGUUGCAAGCCAUAUAUUGAAAUUAAUUAUCGAAAUAGCAAUCAUGAUCAAGUAGAUCUUUAACCACCACAAUUGGUUUAAAUUGCAUUAUUUAAAAUGUCAUGUAUAAGAGUCAUUCCCAAUUGUCAUAGCAAAGUGAGAAUAAUCAAUUAAUCAAAAUUGAUUUCCACAAUAUCCUUUAUACAAGAAGGCUAUUUAGAGCAUAUUAUAAAUUUUGUCAUACUAAUAUGCAAACACAAUUUGUGCUCUACAAAAUAUUUCCAUAUCUUAGCAAUUUCCACUAGAAGCAAUUCGCGAUUUUUAAUACUUUAUGCAAAUAUAAUUGGCAUAAAGUCAUGUCACUUAAUACCAUACGAUUAAAUGAGGCUAUCAACAUUAAUUCAAGUUAAUAUGAGUUCAACAAGACAUGAAAGCAAUCAAACAAAUUUAUCAUGUUAUUUUCAAUUUCAAGUAGAAGAAAUAGUCAUGAAAGUUCGCAUACUUUCUUUCAUAAAAUUUUAAUACUUUAGAAUUUUCUCAUAUGUAACGUAUGCAAAGAAAUAGUCAUGGAAAUUCACACAUUUUCAACAAAUGCAUUCUUCGAAUAUUUAUGCAUCCAAUUCAUCACGACCAAAAUAAAGAAGUAGCAAUUCACAUUCCAAAUAUAACCAUGUGGUUGAACGCCAUAUGUGCCUUCUUAUAAGAAUAAUAUUCUGAAAUAUUUUCCAAACAAAUGGAACACAAAAUUAAUAAUAAAGCAGCCACUAAAUCUCGUUAGUAACCAAAAUAAUCUAAUUUAAAUAUAUAUAUAUAUAUAUAUAUAUAUUAUUCUGAAAUAGAUGCUAAUUUUUUAAGACACAUGUAUAAGGAAUUAUUAUUAUUAUUAUUAUUUUGAAUAGUCACCAUGUCAAAUGGAUUCCUAUGCCUCCACAACUGGUUAGAGUUGCAUUUAAACGUAAUUCCCAUUUACGAACCAAAACCGCAAGCAUUUUCAAAUAAAUAAUUGAUCGCCAUCAAUUAUAAUAUACAUAACUUUUGUGCACACAAGCACUUAUUAAUGCAUACUGUUGACAUCGAAAAUUGGACCUUCCACGUGAUCAAUCGAUAGUCACUCCACGUAUUUCUCCUUGUACACAAUCAACACACUGUCAGACGCACACAGCUAGAACCAGCGGGGGUGGCGGCGGCCGUAUACACUCCGACGAUCAAAUCAGGUUCGGGUGGUCGAAACAGUACCCAGAGGUUGUGUCAAAAACACUAAGAGGGAGGAGAAAAUAUAUAAACUUGCUAUGGAGUGCUAUGUAGUAAGAGUUUCAUUACCUUUGCCUCUUGUCAAACCUUGGGUAUUUAUAGGUGGGAUGAAUCGUUGGAUAUGGGACACGUGUAUACAUCUGACGGUAUGAGGCAUCCACUCAUAGGCGUCAAUCAGCCGCGUCUAUAGAGUGGGCGGGCAGUUUGUUUCUCCCGGGUUGAGUUGACAUAAAAUUGAUAAGUCACGUCAACUAACCUCAUGGAGACGUCAAAUCAAUUUAAACCUUAGGUGCAAAGAGGAUCUUGGCAAAAAUCUCUUUCUGAAAUUGACGGUGAAUCUUCUGACAGAGGUCCACUUGGCCUCGACCUAAGGGGCGAGGGCGCUUCGGUCAGUUCAGCAGGAUCGCCUACGUCUCGCAGUGUGCUACCAGGUCGUUGACAUUGGUGAGAUCAUUUCAGAAACACUUCGGAGACAUCAGGUCGGAAUGUGUAGUGGUUGGCAUUCCGAAACGGUUCAGAUAGGGGCGUAACACAUACCACUUAAUGGAUAAGGUACAAUUCCAUUCUCUAAUGACUUUCAUUCCCAAAGGAACUGGCAACCAAGUGUUUCAGGUUUGCACCCAAAUAAGCAAUGGCCUCAACCGUUCCCAUAUUGCACUUAAUGCAUCAACCUGUCUUCGACAUGCAAGUAAUCUAUCACAUGUGCACAAGUUUAUUCCAAUCGUGUAGGGAAUUGUAUAAAUAUACAAUUUGCCAAUGAAGUGUAAUAUGGAUAAACAAAAUUUUCAUCAGUCACCGGCCAAACCGUUUUAAAUGGAGACAUGCAUAACGUGCUGACAACAUCAAAAAUGAAAAUUCACAUGCAAUUGUAUCAUAUAUGAAAUGAUGACAUCCAUUAAUUUGCUGACUUUUCCCAGAAUUCAAUGGACAUGAAUACCAAAAAGGGCAUGCAUAAAUCAGCCAUCUUCAUUUUAUUUUGCAGACACUAUUUAAUCCAUUAAUUCACAAACUGCCAACAGCAGUAUCAUUUUCUGCCACCUAUUAAAUUGUACCAAUUCAUAUAAACUUACAUGCAGUUUCUUCCAAAGGCAACAUGAGUUAUUCAGACAAAUUCAGAGGGCAUAUUAGACCAAAAGAAAAUGUAUAUACUGCUAGGUCAGAUAAUUCUCCAACAGGUUCAUACCAUUUCAGAUUUUAAGAAACCGUUUGAUUUUGAAAGACACGUCUUUUCAAUGUAUGUUUAGUUAAUUGUAAAUCGUUAAUGAGAUUAUAGAUUUAUGUGCUUGCAUAAUUUCCAAGCAUAUGUGCUUGCAUAAUUUCCAAGCAUAUGGGCUGAACAUAAUAAUUCUCAUUUCUAGAAAUUCAAUCUUACGCAAUCAUGAAUACGCGUGCCAAUUGUUGUGCAAUUUUCUUUUGCUCUUACGCAAGCAAAUCAAAAGUUUUGGCAUACCAAUAUGGAAUUAAGAAAACAAAUGAAAGUUACCGUAGUCGAACGCGCGAUGACAGAUUCAGUCCUUUCAUUCUUUAAUGAAAAUUUAUUUCUUUCAAACCUUUCGAGAUUUGUCUUGCCAAAGAAGCGUGACUCCAGUAGCGUCGCCAAAUCUGAAUUUAGAAUAUGGAGGAUCUUCAAAUUCAUACUUGCCUUCAUAUAAAAUUCGUCUCAUCAAAUGUUCCAACAACGAUCUGUAUAUCAUCAACUUGAACUCUCCAUAAUGAUCUCGUUCUCCAUUGCCAAAUAUCAUUUGAGAUUGUUGGGAAAUUAUUCACCUCGGGGGUUGGAUAAGAAACAAUGCAGAAAAUUAAUCAAGAGGAUGAAAAAACGAAUCAAGAUCAUGACGAAAAUGGAAGAACUCAAACACGACGUUACAUCGUUGUCCUCAAACGAUAUUUGCCUCCUCUUGGUAUUAAUGUUGGUGCUUAAAGGAUCUUGCGGCAAACGGUUUGAAGGAUUGAUCAAACCUUGAUGUAGAGAAACAUAAAAGCACAAGCAUUUCUCUACCCGAACUUGAAGAACAUAUAGGGAAUAUAUGAAUGUGGAGGAAGAAAUGAUUUUUUUGUUUUUGUGGAAUAAUGACAGAUUACCAUAUGUUUUGUAAUCUGAUUUUCAUGUGUUUUUUUUAUGUCCAACAAACACAUAUUUAUAGCCAUGAAUCAAAGCUUCACGAAAUGGUGCCAAAACAAGAUGAAAAGUGACAACUUUUAAUUCAAAACGGCUCCCAAGUUUUAAAUUGAAAAAUCAGCCAACGGCUAUUUUUUAACACUUUGCGUACGCAUAGUAUAAAUCGUGCGUACGCAUAGUAGAAGCAAAAUCAAUUCUAAUUUUGCCAAAGCACAUCUCUUGUACGCACAAAAAUAAGUCUAUGCAUACGCAUAGGCAAAAAUCAAAAUUUUCAUUUUUCAGUUUCUUUUGGUUCUACCAAUUUCACAAUUGAGUCCAACAAUUAGUCCAUUAUCAUUCCAUUGAUUUUGAACAAAUAUUCAACAGUAGAAGCUUCAGAAGACUUCUUUCCCUUUAAGCUAGCGAGGUAAGUCUUGCAAUUCCUCUUCCAAUGACCCUUCACUCCACAGUGAUAGCAUGGGUCAUCAGAUUUGGUAUUGUCCUUGCCUACUUUGACUGCUUUGUUAUUGCCCUUAACCAUUUUGGAUGUUUUCUUAAAACUUCCUUUGAUUUUCCUCUUAGUGCCUUUGGAGGAAUGAAUGGCUAAGACAUGCCCAGUGCUAGCCUUGACAUUGGGCUCCACAGUUUUAAACAUAUUAAGCAACUCAGGGAGUGUGCAUUCGAUCUUAUUCAUAUUGAAGUUCAUAAUGAAUUGUGAAUAACUAUCUGGCAAAGAUUGCAGAACCAAGUCAAUACUUAGUUCAUGAUCCAUGAUAAAACCCAAUGAACCAAGUUUCUUAAUGAAACUAAUCAUCUUCAAUACAUGAGCACUAACUGAAGAUCCCUCUGCCAUUUUGCACCGGUAUAGUUGUUUAGAGGUCUCAUACCUCUCCACACGAGAUUGUUCUUACAACUCCUUGAAAUGAAAAAUUAUAGUGUAAGCAUCCAUACCUUCAUGUUGUUUCUGCAACUCAGGUGACAUAGCUGCAAGCAUCACACAUGCUGCAGUGUUAUCGUCAUCACUGUGUUUGUUGUAAGCAGUCACCUCUUUCUGAAUGGAAUUUUCAGUAGGCACCUCUGGAAAGAGCUGCUCAAUGACAUAUCCAAUUUUCUCAUGCUUGAGAACGAUUCUCAAAUUGCGGUGCCAAUCGAGAAAAUUUGGUCCGAUCAGUUUGUUGGCAUCCAAUAUGCCUCUCAAAUUCAUAUGAUUACUCAUGAUUCAAAAAACUGUAAAUAACAAAAAAUAUAGAAUUAAUAUAUAUUAUAAUGCAUAUGCACAAAUUCAAUAUGGACUUUAAUUAAACGUGCUCCCACUGUUUAAAAUAAAU